rnacentral:rRNA from 1 species
AGUCGAGGGGUAGCAUGAAGUAGCAAUACUUCGAUGACGACCGGCGCACGGGUGAGUAACACGUAUGCAACCUACCUUCCACAGGGGAAUAGCCCGGAGAAAUCCGAAUUAAUACCCCAUAACACAGGGAUACCGCAUGGUAAUAUUUGUUAAAGAUUAAUCGGUAGAAGAUGGGCAUGCGUUCCAUUAGCCAGUUGGUGAGGUAACGGCUCACCAAAGCAACGAUGGAUAGGGGAACUGAGAGGUUUAUCCCCCACACUGGAACUGAGACACGGUCCAGACUCCUACGGGAGGCAGCAGUGAGGAAUAUUGGUCAAUGGACGAGAGUCUGAACCAGCCAAGUCGCGUGAAGGAUGACUGCCCUACGGGUUGUAAACUUCUUUUGUAUGGGAGUAAAAAGAUGGACGUGUCCAUUAUUGCAAGUACCAUACGAAUAAGCAUCGGCUAACUCCGUGCCAGCAGCCGCGGUAAUACGGAGGAUGCAAGCGUUAUCCGGAUUUAUUGGGUUUAAAGGGUGCGUAGGCGGGACAAUAAGUCAGCGGUGAAAGUUUGAGGCUCAACCUUAAAAUUGCCGUUGAAACUGUCGUUCUUGAGUAUAUUUGAAGUAGGCGGAAUUCGUAGUGUAGCGGUGAAAUGCAUAGAUAUUACGAAGAACUCCAAUUGCGAAGGCAGCUUACUAAACUAUAACUGACGCUGA